rnacentral:rRNA from 1 species
GACGUAGGAUGCAAGCGUUGUCCGGAUUUAUUGGGCGUAAAGAGGUCGUAGGUGGUUCGUUAAGUCUGAUGUUAAAUAUCGGGGCUCAACCUCGGGAGUGCAUUGGAUACUGGCGGACUUGAGUGUGGUAGAGGCAAUCGGAAUUCCAGGUGUAGCGGUGAAAUGCGUAGAUAUCUGGAAGAACACCGGUGGCGCAAGCGGAUUGCUGGGCCAUAACUGACACUGAGGAACGAAAGCUAGGGGAGCAAAUGGG